AGAAAUCCAAGUUACAGUUUUUGUUUCUAAACAUAAGAUGGCAGCAGAGGGACACUAGUAUUAAUAAAGCCUAUCCGCUCCAUCUCUGAGAAAGCCAAACAUCUUUGUUACACAACUAUUACACAAGCCACUCUUAGUUAUUUACCAGAAAUCUCUAAAGCCUGCACAAAAGAACUUUGAGCAUCAUUCUUUUAUCUACCACUACUUGGCUACGCGUGCCCUCACAGACAGUCGUAAGCUACCACCACUCUAGAGGAAAUCACUGCAGUCAGGCAGCCAGCCUUUCAAGUCCGUGAAUAGAUGACACGCGUUAGAGUGACUUACCUUCUCCUCUCUUACAAUUUCAAUAGCCCCUACUAGAAAAGGCAUAAAAAGCAGGCCUAAGAAAACCUCUGGAAGACCUUUCUUUCUGUACAGCAUCCUGCUUCAGAAAAGGAAGCAUGUUCCCUGCUUCUAAGUAUUUGUCUCCUUCAGGCAGAAGAGCUUACAAAAUCCAACUUGCAAGAAUACUGUGUGGCUUGAUAUUUCUAAUGGAACCUAUAUGUAUUUACAUCUUGUCAAAUUCUGUUUAAGCAAAAGAACAUCCUCUGGUAGAUCAAGAACAGAAUAGCAAAAUGGCAAAAUCUGUAGCUUUGCUAAUUGGAGGAGGCAUUCAGUUUUGAAUAUCUCUUCUAGAUUACUCAUUCUGGGUAGAGCCAGUUUUGUUCUCUUUUGAAGCUGAUUUCUGUUUAAAAAAAA